AGGAGUUGGUAACUCAGUUUAGUGUCAUAUAACGUACUUUAAGGAAUUGUAUUGUAUGCUCAUUGAAAAGAAACAGAAAAUUGCCAAAAAUAGAGGAAUAAAUGAUUUUAUGAUUGAAUUUGAAAAAAUUGAGUUUUAAGAUAAAUUCUCCUCUACUUCGGUGUACUUUGUCUUUCCGUAUUCUUUUUGUUGGGACGUCGGAGCAUGCUUUUCUGUGGCAGUCAGAUAGCGUAAAUCUCUCCUUGUGGCUUUUCUUUGCAACUCAGUGUAAAUCUCUCUUUCGGUGAACAUGGGUGAGGUAACGGUGAAAGACGGAGCACACAUUUUCAUUAAGUGUCCAAAGUGUAUGGAUCUGAAGCUUCCUCGUGAAGUUGCUGCUUUCUGGAUUGUUUUAAGGCCUCUUGGAGCACCCACAAAGUAGUACAUUGAAAAACAAAACUGUCCUCGAUAGUGACUGGUAAUUCUGGGGAACAGAAUUCACAACUUGGAAGCGAAUGUUGGUUAUAUUACUUGAAGAAACGGCAUGCAAGAACACCAAAACUUCCCCAUUGUGAUUGGACAGGGACUCUAUGGAAUCAUAGUCUCCAUUGCAAUGUUGGGUGGCUUUUGAAGAUAUUCACGUGUUACUUUGUUUCUUAUUCACCCUCGCUCGCACAUGUGUGUGUGGCUGUGUUUAUGUGGUAAGCUAAGCAAUCUUAUUCUUAGAUGUCAUAUGGGCGAGCAUUUCGAAUUCGUUUUUGGAGUUAUGCUUUUAGAUGAUAACUUACAACACGUGCGUGUGUAUUGCAUUAAUUUUGAACAUUCAAUUUUCCUUUGAUGUAUUUGUUAUAAGGCUAUCCCUUUCUUGUUCUAAUGAUUACUCUUAAGAUAACUUUCUUUGAAUUGGAGAGAAAGCUAUAGUAAAGGACCCCAUUUUAAGAAGACUUUAGAAAUAUAGAAUUAAAGAAAUACUGUCAUGAUUCAUUAUAUUAUUUGUUUCAUCCAAUAAUCUUUAUCACAAAGAAAUAGAUAGCAUACAACUUGUUAGCUUCUUAUUAUUUUCUUAAUUUAUGUAGUAUUCUAUUAUAAUGUUCAGUUUUAUUCUUACAUAGGGCACAAAAAUGAUAGUAAAAAAAUGUUAUGGUUUUCGUGUACUAGACCUUUGCAUUCGGUGCUCUCCUUUGUGAAUCCCCUAAUAUGAUAAAGUUUCUUCUCUUUUGUAAAGUUAUUUUGCUUUUGUGGGACAUAAUGGCUUUCUUUGUUUUCUAUCAUAAAAGAGUUUGUCUUUAUACAUAAUGAUGUGAAGGAGAUUAGUUGAUUUAGCAGAAACAUGGCGAAGGGAAGUCAUGAGAAUGUUGCUCCCUACCCUCUGGUAUGGCAGUGAAAAUUUAUAUCUUUUUGUCCAAAAAAAUGCAUUUUUGCAGGAAGAAUAUGUGAGUGGAGAUAAAGUUGGUAUAUUGCAAUGUAAGCACAAGUAUCAUGUUGCAGGCAUUCAACAAUGGUUGAGGUUGAAGAACUGGUGUCCCAUUUUUAAAUCAGCAGCAGCUUCUCACCCUUUCAGAUGAUAUAAAACCAAAUCAAAUAGUUUCCACUUUCUCAUUUAUGUUAGGAUUCACUAUCUAUGGAACUUUAUGUUUCCUGUGUACAAAUUAAAUCUGUUUUCAUCUCUCCAUUCACUAAUAGACUCAAGCAGUUGAUUUCAACUCUCUUUAUUGAUUUGAAUGAGAUGGGAAGUACAUGCAUGUACCUCUUUAUCGAGUAA